rnacentral:rRNA from 1 species
UACAGAGGUCCCAAGCGUUGUUCGGAUUCACUGGGCGUAAAGGGUGCGUAGGCGGUUUGACAUGUCUGAUGUGAAAUCCCGCAGCUUAACUGCGGAACUGCAUUGGAAACUGUUUGACUAGAGGAAUGGAGGGGAGACUGGAAUACUUGGUGUAGCAGUGAAAUGAGUAGAUAUCAAGUGGAACACCAGUGGCGAAGGCGAGUCUCUGGACAAAACCUGACGCUGAGGCACGAAAGCCAGGGGAGCAAACGGG